AAGGCUCUCGUGUGUUAGCCUGUGCUUCUUCUCGCCUCGUAGUUUAAAGAAGGCGGAAGUAGACUCUGGUGCCACGCUCUGGAGGCUGGAGCCGGGAGCAUGGAGCCUGUGGCACCAGGGCUUGCCUCUGCGUGGUGUGUGGCGGCAAUGGAGAGGGGCAGUAGACAGUGAUAGCUGCUCCGUGCAGGGCUACAGGAAAGAAAGAAGUAGUCACCUACCACAGGCUGGAGGCUAGAGCCUGCGGGACUGUGGCUGGCCUUGCUGGCUCGCCUCACUGGCUUGCCUCACUGCGGUUUGUGGCAGCGACGGACACUGCAGCUGGCUAGAGCGUAGGAAGGUGAUGGGGCUUUCUUGGCUUUGCCUGCCCAGCUGUUACAUGCCAGGAGGAGGAGGAGUUACAUGCUGGAAGCUUGCAGAUGGCCUGGGGCUGCCGGUCGCCUCGCUGAGGUUGGUGGCGGCUACUGAGACUGCCUCGCGCCAGAGUAGGAGAACGACCAGCUGCGGCCAUGGCAGUGGCAGGGCUGCGGCGGUGGCCAGAAUGCAUUCCUUCUACUUACAAAAAAAAAGUUAACUGUGAAACCGCCUGAGGCAGGCCCUUCAGGAGCUAUUUCAGAAGAAGACAUUGUUACCAUGGGAGAUGACAGCUCCAUGUGUGGUAUUGCUUCAGAAGACCUUCCAGUGGGACAAGAUGUGGAGAUGGAAGACUGAUACUGAUGAUCCUGACCCAGUGUAGGCCUAGGCUAGUGUGUGUGUAUUUGUGUCUUAGCUUUUACCAAAACGAAGUUUAAAAAAUUUGUAUGCUUAUUUUUUGUUCUGAAUACUUACCAAGAUACAACUUA